AAGUCGUAACAAGGUUUCCGUAGGUGAACCUGCGGAAGGAUCAUUAACACGUAUCCAACGUUAAACCCCCCCGUGCACCUUCAAACACCAUACAGCGCUUCGUGACCCAUCUUGUGUCGGGAUUGAUGGUCGGGAAAAACAGGGAUCUAGGGAGUUGGUUGUCGGGGGAGAACCUCGCGAAAUGGGGUGGCACGCCGAGAGGCGGGGACCAUUCCUGGUUGCGAUGUAAACGUGGUCUCCACUUCAACUUGUUUAGUACCUUUUGUCCCCGUUUUCUUAUAACCACCGCUGGAAAACUAUGUCUUCCCGCAAAAGUACCCGCUCGGGGGGCCUGAGAACCUUCCAGAGCUGGAAUACCCGAACAACUGUUAACAAUGGAUAUCUUGGCUCUC
rnacentral:misc_RNA from 1 species